UACGUAGGUGACUAGCGUUGUCCGGAUUUACUGGGCGUAAAGAGCGCGCAGGCGGUCGUUCAAGUCGAGUGUGAAAGCCCCCGGCUCAACUGGGGAGGGUCAUUCGAUACUGAUCGACUCGAAGGCAGGAGAGGGAAGCGGAAUUCCCGGUGUAGUGGUGAAAUGCGUAGAUAUCGGGAGGAACACCAGUGGCGAAGGCGGCUUUCUGGUCUGUAACUGACGCUGAGGCGCGAAAGCUAGGGGAGCAAACGGG
rnacentral:rRNA from 1 species